CCUACGGGAGGCAGCAGUAGGGAAUCUUCGGCAAUGGACGCAAGUCUGACCGAGCAACGCCGCGUGAGUGAAGACGGUUUUCGGAUUGUAAAGCUCUGUUGUAAGAGAAGAACGAGUGUGAGAGUGGAAAGUUCACACUGUGACGGUAUCUUACCAGAAAGGGACGGCUAACUACGUGCCAGCAGCCGCGGUAAUACGUAGGUCCCGAGCGUUGUCCGGAUUUAUUGGGCGUAAAGCGAGCGCAGGCGGUUAGAUAAGUCUGAAGUUAAAGGCUGUGGCUUAACCAUAGUACGCUUUGGAAACUGUUUAACUUGAGUGCAAGAGGGGAGAGUGGAAUUCCAUGUGUAGCGGUGAAAUGCGUAGAUAUAUGGAGGAACACCGGUGGCGAAAGCGGCUCUCUGGCUUGUAACUGACGCUGAGGCUCGAAAGCGUGGGGAGCAAACAGGAUUAGAUACCCUAGUAGUC
rnacentral:rRNA from 1 species